rnacentral:rRNA from 1 species
GAUGAACGCUAGCGGCAGGCCUAAUACAUGCAAGUCGAACGGGAUCCAGAUCAAAGCUUGCUUUGGUCUGGUGAGAGUGGCGCACGGGUGCGUAACGCGUGAGCAACCUACCCUUGUCAGGGGGAUAGCCCGGCGAAAGUCGGAUUAAUACCGCAUGACAUCAUUGAGAGGCAUCUUUCGAUGAUCAAAGAUUUAUCGGACAAGGAUGGGCUCGCGUGACAUUAGCUAGUUGGUAAGGUAACGGCUUACCAAGGCUGCGAUGUCUAGGGGCUCUGAGAGGAGAAUCCCCCACACUGGUACUGAGACACGGACCAGACUCCUACGGGAGGCAGAAGUAAGGAAUAUUGGUCAAUGGACGGAAGUCUGAACCAGCCAUGCCGCGUGCAGGAAGACGGCCCUAUGGGUUGUAAACUGCUUUUAUACGGGAACAAACGUCGGUACGUGUACCGGUCUGAGUGUACCGUAAGAAUAAGGAUCGGCUAACUCCGUG